rnacentral:rRNA from 1 species
AUUGAACGCUGGCGGCAGGCCUAACACAUGCAAGUCGAACGAGUGGCGGACGGGUGAGUAAUGUCUGGGAAACUGCCUGAUGGAGGGGGAUAACUACUGGAAACGGUAGCUAAUACCGCAUACCCUCAGAUGUGCCCAGAUGGGAUUAGCUAGUAGGUGGGGUAAAGGCUCACCUAGGCGACGAUCCCUAGCUGGUCUGAGAGGAUGACCGCACACACUGGAACUGAGACACGGUCCAGACUCCUACGGGAGGCAGCAGUGGGGAAUUUUGCACAAUGGGCGCAAGCAUGAUGCAGCCAUGCCGCGUGUAUGAAGAAGGCCUUAGGGUUGUAAAGUAAUUUCAGCGGGGAGGCGUUACUCGCAGAAGAAGCACCGGCUAACUCCGUGCCAGCAGCCGCGGUAAUAC